CUCUACCAGGAGAAGAUGGGGUGUCCCUAUCUCUCCCUUUGCAAUGCUUCCUGAUGCCUUGGGAGAGCAGUUUGUGAAAUUCUGCAAUUCCAUAAAGUUGGUGCACUGAAUCCUGUGUCAUUAUUGCCCUUGCCCAAUGAGGGAGAAGCUCAUGAGUGUGAUCCAGACUAAGUCACUCCAAAGCCUCACCACGAUCUGUAGGAAACAGAACUAGAAUCGGGUAAAGUAUUCUAUUAUACACAGACGGCUCUAGUCACAUGACGACAGGAGGAAAGCGAGUGAUUGGAUAUGCUCUGUGUGAUGAUGUGGAAGCAUUUAAAGCUGGCCCAUUGCCGCAUCAAUUUCAGCUCAGGGAGUUGCGCUUGUCGGUUGCCAGCAGGGGAGGAUGCUACAAUGUACACAGACUCUCUCUAUGCGUUAGGAGUGGUUCAUGAUUUUGGGACUCUGUGGUCACAAAGGGGCAUGCUAACUGCGACAGGAACACCAAUUAAACAUGGACACGAAGUAGAGGCAUUACUAGAAGUGUGUCUAUUACCCAGUAGACUAGCUGUGGUAAAAUGUGAAGCUCACACCAGUCGUACUGAUAAGAUAGCAGUAUGGAAUUUCCGAGCAGAUGAGGCGGCGAAAGCGGAGCCACAAUCUAAAACAGAAGAUGCGACCAAACUGCAUGUAAAUCGUGUAAAUACUAAAGCUGGGAUUCUCAGCAAACUCCCACCAAAUAGCUACCACCACCAGACGGAUCCUUUACAUCAUUGCAGAUGGACUUUAUAUGGCCACUUCCUCGAAGUAGGGUGUAUUCACAGGUCAAAUUAACACACCCCAGGAGAUAACCACAAGCACAGCCUGAGUCUGGGGGACUGAGUGUACAUCAAGGUCCACCAAGCCGGAGUGUUCGGACAACGCUGGUCCGGAGCCCCACACAGUACUACUCACCACGCCUACAGCAGUGAAAACUACAACCUCUCCUCAGUGGGUCCAUAUUUCUCAUGUGAAACGAGAUCCGGCUGACUAAGGGGACCUGAGCCCUAGGACCAUGCCUCAGGACUACCUGACAUGAUGACUCCUUGCUGUCCCCAGUCCACCUGGCUGUGCUGCUGCUCCAGUUUCAACUGUUCUGCCUUAUUAUUAUACGACCAUGCUGGUCAUUUAUGAACAUUUGAACAUCUUGGCCAUGUUCUGUUAUAAUCUCCACCCGGCACAGCCAGAAGAGGACUGGCCACCCCACAUAGCCUGGUUCCUCUCUAGGUUUCUUCCUAGGUUUUGGCCUUUCUAGGGAGUUUUUCCUAGCCACCGUGCUUCUACACCUGCAUUGCUUGCUGUUUGGGGUUUUAGGCUGGGAUUCUGUACAGCACUUUGCGAUAUCAGCUGAUGUACGAAAAUAAAUAAAAUACAUUUGAUUUGAUUUGAUCUCUUCGAUGAGAGCCCAAUGGCCCAAGUACUCCACCAGUGUUUCGUCAGAUCAAAUGGGCAUACAUUUGUGCAUCUCCAGUGAGAACAGAACCUGCCUGAACUCUUCCCUUAGUGCAUUUUCCGGCUGGUGCCCACAUCACAUUCAUUGUUUUUUUCCUUACUAAUAAAUACUGUGUGUAUUCAUAUCAAAGUCAGUACCUUAUUACCUUAUCAUAAUACUGUUUCUGUAUAUCAUGUUAUGUAAUUUCUACUAUAGCAGACUGUAUUUAUGUAUGGGGCAUAAUGUAUUCUGUGUAUAUUCCUUUAUAACCGUGGACAAGCAAGGUACUGAUUUCAUAACCUUGAUUGUGUUAUAUUUAAUUUUGAUAAUGUGCUUGCAUUCAUCUAUUAGUUCUGUGAAACGAUGUUAACACUAAUGGCGUCAAAGAAGUAUUAUCUGGUGUUGUAUUUGGAAGCUGCCCUGGCCUUAUCAUGACCAUUGCAUUAGCCUGCAUUUGGCCUGUAUAGCUCUGCCCUGCCCCCUUGUGGAGCCCUUGUGGAGAUCAUCAGUUAUUAUGUUACAGGUAAUAUGUUUUUAUUGCUAUAUCCUAAUGUUGUAUUCGAAUUACUAAUCAUUCCUCUUUAUUCUGUACUUUCAGAAACCACACACACACAGUAUUUGCCAAUAUCAGAACUGGAACUGGACAUAUUUUGUGCUGAAGAUUGAGGACAGCUUUUGUAUGCUAGAAAUAUACUGUUUGGAGAGGGAGUAGGGAGG
ensembl:lncRNA